rnacentral:lncRNA from 1 species
ACAACAGAGAGAAAUCUACCAAGUGAUUUUUACUGGGAUCCACUAAGAGACUUUUUAACAGCCAGCUUCUAGGCCCAGAAAAAUGAAAGUUGCCUUGGGACAAAACAGGAAAACAGGAUCCAUCACCAUUCUAAACCAUCAGCUUUGUAAAGACAUCUGAGAUGAUUAUGGCACAAGAGGCACAGAGAGUAAGUGGAUCUUAGUCCAGCAGAAUGAUUCCUCCUGGGACCAGAAAAUUCUUCUCAUUCUUAAUUUUCUUUAUUUGUUUUGCUUCCUAUAAUUACUUUAAAAAUUAUAAUGUAAAAUAUUUUCAACAGACCAAAUAUGAGUAAGGAUAUCAUGAACACUCAUGUUAUGAAUAUUCUGCUUAAGAAAUGAUCAUCAAAACGAUGAAGGCCCCAGGUACCUCAUGCUGAUCACAUUCUUCUUAAUGUCCUCCCAAACUAGAAAAAGUUACUGCCCUCAGAAAGAGUUUCUUAUCCCUAAGAACUUCUUUAUAUUUAAUCAUAUAGUUAUAUCAUCCCAAAUAAUAGGCAGAAUG